CUCCGCCUCCCAAGUUCACGUGACUCUCCUGCAUCAGCCUCCCAAGUAGCUGGGAUUACAGGCACAUACCACCAUGUUCUUGAGUUGUAAUUAUUCCACUCCCUAAAUAUAUGACCUUGAGUCUGCCACAGGAAAAGAAAAUGUCUGGAUUCAGAGAGCAAUCAUGCUGUUCUUUCAAUAGCCAUGCUAUUGGCUCUCACAGGCUGGGAAAGAAGAGGGGAGAUGGAAAUGGUGCCUCAGCAGACAGGAAGGGUGGAAGACUCCAAAUCUUCUAAGCUUCUUCACCACCAGAGUCCUACACCCCUACAUCUGUAUUCCCUCAAGAAGAUCUUGGCAGAUUGGUGGUGGGAAAGAAGGAAUAUUAAGGUAAACAGACUAGAAAAAGUUGAAGGUUAGGUAUCAGUUUUCAUUCUUGGUAAAUACAAAAUAUAAUAAUUAUGAUGAUGAUGAUUGAAUGAGAGUCAAUUUGAUUCACUAUACACUUAACACAAUUCAACUAUAUACUUAAAAAUGGUCAGACGGUAAAUUUUAUGUUAUGUAUGUAUUGGGAAGAUGGGUACUUUCGGCACUUUCCAAAAGAAACCAAGUUUAUUAUCAGUUCAAGUGUGCUCCAGUCAAUGUCUAGCUCAUUAGAUGAUUGAACUGAUUCCAAUGACCAUAACAUCUUUCCAGGAGAUUUUUAUAAACUCCAAGGUCUUUCAGUUUAUUUCAAAGCUAACUCUCCUCACACGAGAAUGAAGGCAAGAGGCUGAAGUACCAAUACCACUUCCACCCGACUCCUGUCCCACAACCAAAGUUUCUCUUUGAGCAGCUUACAACAAAAGCUUUACAUUUAUUAAGAUAAAUAGUGCAUUGUCAUUCCUCUGUCCCCUACAUUAAAGCUUAACCUAACACUGCAGUUGAGUCCAAUAAUUAGUCAGACAUUGAAUUCAAUCCUUUCUACUUUCUAACAUUCUAUACAUAAGUCUCCACAUUAUCAUUUCUCAAGAAAGGAAUCACAUUUAAAUAAGUUAAACUAAAAAAAUAAACAAAAUUGGGUUUAUAUGGUCUCUGAAUGUCUCUAAAUAAUACUUCACAUUUUGGAUCUACUGUCUUUUGAAAUCAAUCAAUAUCUUAUAAAGGAUUCAAUCAUCAGAAUCAAGAAGAGUCUCAUGAACUAGUAAAGCAAUAGACAAAUAUUUUACUCUUUUGUUAAAACAACACAAGACUGAUUUAUCUAUAAGCACUGUUUCUAAUAUAUGUAUAUAAUAAAGAUAAUUUCUAUCUAA